CUCACGGUGAAAUAAUUAAUAAUAUUAUCUUUUAACUUGUAGUUAAUACGAAGUAAAUUAAUUAUAAAGUUUUAAUAAUUGAAUUAUAUGUAAUGACAUUGUAAUAGCAUAACCAAACAAAAUAAUACCUCAAAUUAGUCGUAUUUAAGAUUAGUGAAGUUCUCGCAUAAGGAAACUUGGAUUCUUCAAAACGAAUCGGUAACUAUGAUUCUUGAUUGGAUUGGAAUAAUUCUUCAGGAUGGUAUACUGGAUUAAUUGGAUAUCAGGAACCAGUUAAUUUUCUUGUUUAUUAUUAAAGAUUUCAACGUCCAGCUUCAAAAAUAUUUAAUCUACGGAUUUUGUCCAAUUCUUCAUCCAAACUCCUAUAUGAUGGAUGGUUUUCGUUUUUGAAAUGCUGAGAUUAUCGUUUUCAAUGGUUUCAACCGGACAAACAUGAAUUACAAUAAGAAAUUAAUGAAAAAUGAAAUUUGAGGUUAUGUCACUGUCAAAAUUUUACAAAAUUACUUCGUAUUGACUUUACAUGGAUUAAGUACAAUAAAAAACGUAAACGAUCAACAAUACAUAAUGAAUUGGAACAUAUUUACAACAUUUUAUUAAUACAAAAACAAAUUCCUAUAAUUAUUAUUCGUAAUCUCACCCACGAUUAAUACGAUUAUGCAAAAUUAAAAAAAAAAAUAUUGAAUGACUUGGUUUGGUUAUAUCAUUACAUUAUAUACCUAUCAUAUUCCUGCUAAGCAACACGAAAAAUGCUUAUAAUUUAUAAUAGAGUAGCAGCGGUGGAGAAAGGAGUAAAGGGUUUCCAAAUGACCAAAAUAUUCCCUUUCAAUCGUUUUGUAUUUAGGUAUUAUGAUGAAUUUAGCCAUGCCAUAGAAAUUCCAUCGUGUACGACACAUCCUACAUCAGCUGCUGACACACAAAGCAAUAACAAUGCUCAGACAGACAAGAAUUUGGACAGAACACCUUCUUCUAUCCACUUCGAAAGUCGACAGAAUCAGAAUCUUCCUUAGAUUUAGAUUUAGAAGAAGUUUUAGAAGAUGCGAGCAAAACAAGGCUGUGCAACCCAAGAAAGAAAACACAAAGUUUAAUACAUCUUUUAGCAUUCCUGACAGCAAAAACUAGUAGAAUAAAAUAUUCAGUUGUUCUGAUUUCAACGCCAGUCAAAGAAGAGCUGGAAAAAAAGGAAAACGAAGAAGAAGUUUAAAUCUUCAUUAAAUUUGCUUUAAAUUGUUUUUUAUUUCAUGAUGAUAUCUCAAUUAGUUUUUGAGAUAUGUAAAGAUAAUCAUCCCAACACUAAUGUUUAAGGUUAUGCAAGGUUGCGUUCAAAAAUUCAUAAAUCUGAAAUUUCAAGAUUCGAAGAAAUGAUAUUCAAAGUAUUGAAUACUAA